rnacentral:rRNA from 1 species
UACGAAGGGGGCUAGCGUUGCUCGGAAUCACUGGGCGUAAAGGGUGCGUAGGCGGGUCUUUAAGUCAGGGGUGAAAUCCUGGAGCUCAACUCCAGAACUGCCUUUGAUACUGAAGAUCUUGAGUUCGGGAGAGGUGAGUGGAACUGCGAGUGUAGAGGUGAAAUUCGUAGAUAUUCGCAAGAACACCAGUGGCGAAGGCGGCUCACUGGCCCGAUACUGACGCUGAGGCACGAAAGCGUGGGAGCAACGGG